rnacentral:rRNA from 1 species
CAUUACACAAAUAUGAAGCCGGACUGGGAUAGGGCCUCGCUGCCUUGCCCGUCUGGCGCCAUAUUCACCCAUGUCUUUUUGCGUACUACUUGUUUCCUUGGCGGGUCCGCCCGCCAAUUGGACCUUAUUCAAACCUUUUUUUUCAGUUGCAAUCAGCGUCAGCAAAACAAAUGUAAUCAAUUACAACUUUCAACAACGGAUCUCUUGGUUCUGGCAUCGAUGAAGAACGCAGCGAAAUGCGAUAAGUAGUGUGAAUUGCAGAAUUCAGUGAAUCAUCGAAUCUUUGAACGCACAUUGCGCCCUUUGGUAUUCCAAAGGGCAUGCCUGUUCGAGCGUCAUUUGUACCCUCAAGCUUUGCUUGGUGUUGGGCGUCUUGUCUCUCUCCCGAGACUCGCCUUAAAAUCAUUGGCAGCCGGCCUACUGGUUUCGGAGCGCAGCACAUUAUUUGCGCUCUUGUCCAGCCGCGGUCGCGCGUCCAUGAAGCUUCUUUCAACCUUUUGACCUCGGAUCA